ACGGGAGGCAGCAGUGGGGAAUAUUGGGCAAUGGGCGCAAGCCUGACCCAGCAACGCCGCGUGAAGGAAGAAGGUUUUCGGAUUGUAAACUUCUGUCCUUGGUGACGAAGGAAGUGACGGUAGCCAAGGAGGAAGCCCCGGCUAAUUACGCGCCAGCAGCCGCGGUAACACGUAAGGUGCGAGCGUUGUUCGGAAUCAUUGGGCGUAAAGGGCAUGUAGGCGGUCUGUCAAGCCAGGCGUGAAAGCCAGGGGCUCAACCCCUGAACUGCGCUUGGAACUGGCGGACUGGAGUCGCUGAGGGGGAACCGGAAUUCCUGGUGUAGGGGUGAAAUCUGUAGAUAUCAGGAAGAACACCGAUGGCGAAGGCAGGUUUCCAGCAGACGACUGACGCUGAGGUGCGAAGGUGCGGGGAGCAAACAGGAUUAGAUACCCUGGUA
rnacentral:rRNA from 1 species